rnacentral:rRNA from 1 species
AUUGAACGCUGGCGGCAUGCCUAACACAUGCAAGUCGAGCGGAUGAAGGGAGCUUGCUCCUGGAUUCAGCGGCGGAUGGGUGAGUAAUGCCUAGGAAUCUGCCUUGUAUUUGGGGAUAACGUCCGGAAACGGGCGCUAAUACCGCAUACGUCCUUAUGUAGAAAGUGGGGGAUCUUCGGACCUCACGCUAUCAGAUGACCCUAGGUCGGAUUAGCUAGUUGGUGAGGUAAAGGCCUACCAAGGCGACGAUCCGUAACUGGUCUGAGAGGAUGAUCAGUCACACUGGAACUGAGACACGGUCCAGACUCCUACGGGAGGCAGCAGUGGGGAAUAUUGGACAAUGGGCGAAAGCCUGAUCCAGCCAUGCCGCGUGUGUGAAGAAGGUCUUCGGAUUGUAAAGCACUUUAAGUUGGGAGGAAGGGCAGUAAGUUAAUACCUUGCUGUUUUGGCGUUACCAACAGAAUAAGCCCCGGCUAACUUCGUG